GACUCUUGAGGUCCAGGCACAGCCCUGUGUGGAAGAUAGUGUGUGAGGCUGAAACCCAGAGUGUGUCAUCAUCUGGAAACAACCCUGCAAAGGGCCCAUAGUGGAUGGCUGUAUGGGGGCCAUGUGACUGAACUCCUGAUCCUCGUUUCAGCCCACUCAUGUGACAUGCAUGGAGCUCUUCAGCAGGGACUUACUGACCAGGACAAGAGCUUGAGACUUUGAGGGGAUCUGAUUGUCACUGCACAAUCAAGGACAGUAUUCCCAAGAGUGGAUGUUGCUCAAGAUAGUCCAAGGAAUUCUAUGAAGAAAAGGACUCCACAGACAAUAAAUUUUGGACACCCUGUUUCAACACAGUGCAUCUUAGAGACUGGUGUUUGCAAGUAUAUGGAGCAGGAAACUUCAUCCCGAAGAUGGAGACCCCGGGGCUGUCAGCAGGCGUUAGGCAAGUGCCUCAAAAUUCCCAAUUCCCAGCAAGAGAAGCCAACUGAAGGAUGAGACAGGGUUUCUGCCUUCCCUGGGUCCUCCAGUAUUACAUGGAGGGGUUGGAGUGAACCUUCUGGAGGUGGGGUCAAUGACUCUUGGAGGUAGGGGAAAGCUUCCUUUGACCAAGUUGCACACAAAGACAGAAAACGUGUUUGCAUGGGCAUUGUUUAACCUGCUUAAAAGAAUGAAAAGAUUUUAGCACUUUUUUCUUUUUCUGUAAUUACUAAAGAAGUACAUGUUUUUGCAAAAAAAAAAAAAAAUCAAACAAUAUACAAGUAUAUAGAGUAAAAAGUGGAAGUCCUCCUUUCAUCUCCUCCCUGCAUCCCUCCCUGCACCCUGGAGUGUUCCAUAUUAAGGUUUUGGUAUGCCUGGUUCAGUGGGUGAGAAGAUUAAUCUGGAGUCAGCACUCUGAGAUUGAAUCUCAGCUUUGCCACAUGCUAGCUCUGUUUCCUUGGGCACAAGCCUCACUUUGCUCAUCUCUAAAAUAAAGUAGCCGUAGGAAGGGCUUGGCAGGUAUGGGAUGAGAUGAAACACAGAAAGCCCUAAUGCAGCACCUGAACCUAGUUGGAUUCAGUUAAAUUUGGCCGUUAGAAUUUUCCUUCCAGAAUCCAGGCAUUUUUUAAAAGGUCCAAUUUCAUUCAAUGGAUGUGCUAAUUCGAGAAUGGGGUCCAUCUCUUAAUCUGUUCAUGUGACUCUUUUUUAAGUCCUCAAGGGCAGUUUCUAUGCAGAAACCACUAUUUAGAGGUUUACUUUAUUUUUUCAAGUUCAUAGUCAAAUUGUCAAAGCUGGAAAUUAAAAAAAAGCAGAUUACUUGACUUUCUUUAUUCUACACAUUAGCUCGUUUUUAAUGCUAGGAACUAAGAACUUUUCUAGGACUUUGAUGGAAUGAUUACUAUCUUAGAAAAUGCCAUGCCUCCAUAAAUAUAUAUGCCUACUAUGUACCUGCAAAAAUUAAAAAUAAAAACUUUGUUAAAAGAAAAAAAAAAAGAAAAUGCCAUGCUUUUAAGUUCAGCUUACAAAAGUUCUCAUUCUUUUUAUAAAUCCAGCUAGAAUUUCCA